GCUCCACUAGCCCAAAUGGGAGAGGCAACAGGUUUAAGCCCUGUAAAGUCCAAGUUCGAAUCUUGGGUGGAGUACAA
rnacentral:tRNA from 1 species